AUGGAUUGCAACCUUCUGAUCUGGAACGUGUGGGGGCUGAAUAACCCCGCACGGCGUGGUGUCGUUCGCUCUGUUGUCUCCCUCAACAAUGUACCGGUGGUCUGUUUACAAGAGUCCAAGCUUGAAUUUGUUGAUCUGGGAAUCAUCCAGCAAUGCUGUGGUGCUCGUUUCUCUGAUUUUGUAUUUGCCCCUGCUGUUGGAACUUGGAACUAG
rnacentral:rRNA from 1 species